AUGCCUAGAAACUCUUAACUAUAUCAAUCAAAGUACAAUAAAAUAAAUUUGGAUCAGAAAAAUACCUGUAAUGCCAAUCUAAUUUUUAUGAGGCAUCCAAGUAUCCACCCUCCAAUGAUGAUCUACACGAAAAUUGAACCAAAGACAGCACUCCUUCUUCACCUUGCUUCAAGAGUUCUAGCUCCUAGAACUCAACCAGCCACCA
rnacentral:lncRNA from 1 species